rnacentral:lncRNA from 1 species
CUAACGUUACACAACAACAAAAUACAAAGCAGCAAUAGCAGUCAAAAGAAGCAUAACAAACUUAAGUACCUGCAACAAACCUUGGCCGCUGCAGUGAAGCACCAUAAAUCAUAGGACUAAAAUUGGACUCAUUAUAAUAAUAAUUCUCAAUCAAACUUUUCAAGAACCUAAAAUAAAGAGGUGACAACUCAAGAUCAUCCUCUACAACAAAUGCAAACUCAUCAUCUGAACUAGGCCACCAAGCUUCCAACCACUGAGCUUGAAGUCCAGCAUUUGAAGUCCUAUAAUGCACAAACUUUUCACCAAAUUCCCAAUUAAACCCAUCAACAAAAUCAAGAAUUUUUUUUGAAAGAUACAAUCUUUGGUCAAUUUCCACAUACCCUUUUGAGGAAUCUUGAAAAUGAUCAAUGUAGAUAUGUAAAUGAACAACAUGGUUAUCAUAUUUUGCUUUGGAAAGUGAAUUUAGGCAUCUUGAAAGGGACUCAAAACGAUUAAAGGUGAGAACUUUGAUGAUGAAAGUGAAGUUUUGGUGAGUUGGGCAUCUUGAAAGGGAAUCAAAACGAUUAAAGGUGAGAACUUUGAUGAUGAAAGUGAAGUUUUGGUGAGUUUGGGGGUUGUUGUAAGGGUUAAAAGAGAAAGAUUUGGUGGAAUUUAAGUUUGAUGGGUGAAAAGAGAAGAGGAAUUUUGAAAAGAGUGAGCAGUAUGAAAAGUGGGAUCAAAUUUUUCAGGGUUUUCUUGGGUUGUGCCAUAUGAUUGUAAUUUUGAUGAAUUAUAUCAUCACUUUUUUGAGGUUUUUGUGGAUUUUAUAACACAUAAAGUUUUCAUGUUGGAUCUUGAGAGUUGUGUUUGGGAGUGGAAGAAGGGAGAAGGAGAGUGAAUACUGAAGAUCA